rnacentral:snoRNA from 1 species
UGGAUCCAUGAUGACCAAUGGUGGCAUAUGAAUCAUACACGAUGCACACAUGUCUGAAACAGGUCCAC